rnacentral:rRNA from 1 species
UACGGAGGGGGCUAGCGUUGUUCGGAAUUACUGGGCGUAAAGCGCGCGUAGGCGGACCUGCAAGUCGGGGGUGAAAGCCCGGGGCUCAACCCCGGAACUGCCUUUAAGACUGCAUCGCUUGAAUCCGGGAGAGGUGAGUGGAAUUCCGAGUGUAGAGGUGAAAUUCGUAGAUAUUCGGAAGAACACCAGUGGCGAAGGCGGCUCACUGGACCGGUAUUGACGCUGAUGUGCGAAAGCGUGGGGAGCAAACAGG